rnacentral:lncRNA from 1 species
CUCCACUCCUGCUCCAGCGGCACAAUGUGAUCCACCAGCAAGGAGGGACACCAAUAAGGCGUCUGAUAAGUGCCCUAUCUAUUUGAUCUCUGGUAAGGACUUCAUGACUGUGUGGUACAUUAUAGAAGAAGCUCCUGGAAGAGGAGACAUGUGGUGAGAGAAGAAGCCAGAGAGGAGUAAGAGACCUGGGUGGUAGUGAAUUACAUAAAUGCUAUCAGCAAGGAUGUGAACAAAAGUUCAUCUGGAGUUUUCUAAAUAAGUGUUCAAAUACAAGAACAAGGCAAGGAAGAGUUUUUUGAGACACAUCUUCCUAAAGAGAAACAACCUCAAUAAAGUGUACCAUGGCACUCCAAGCCC